UACGUAGGGUGCGAGCGUUGUCCGGAAUUAUUGGGCGUAAAGGGCUCGUAGGCGGUCUGUCACGUCGGGAGUGAAAACUCAGGGCUUAACCCCGGGCUUGCAGUGGAUACGGGCAGGCUGGAGGCAGGCAGGGGAGAACGGAAUUCCCGGUGUAGCGGUGAAAUGCGCAGAUAUCAGGAGGAACACCGAUGGCGAAGGCAGGUCUCUGGGCAUUAACUGACGCUGAGGAGCGAAAGCAUGGGGAGCGAACAGG
rnacentral:rRNA from 1 species